rnacentral:misc_RNA from 1 species
AUCAGCAUGUGUCAGGUCCCAGAGAUGAAGCAGAAGUGGAGAGCAGCUCUAAGCAUGUGUCAACUCCCCAGGAUCCUUCAGAGAAUGAGGCUAGGUCAGCGAAUGAGUUUGAGUCCAAAAGUCAAAGCAACAAUCUUUCAAACAAAAUGGUUGACACUGGGAAAGGACACAUAGACUUAAAUUGUGAUCCUGAUCGUGAAGAAGAAUCACAAGUGGGGUUAAACCAUAUGAGCAUGAUGAGUCUUCUUCAAGUAGCAAGCCUUCCAUUGGACACAUAUCUGAAGCAGAACGGUCUUACAAGGUUGGUAUCUGAGCGACAAGGAAGUUCAGCAUCACAUGUGCCACCUCAACCGGGAGAGAGUGAAGGACAACUUCCUGAGGAUUGUCAAUUUGGUACAGUUGUCCAAGAGCAGGAGAAGCAGGAGAGUGCAGGUGAAGAGAACUAUGGACCUGGACCAAAGCAAAGCCAAAAUGACCCUGUAUGAGGUUUUAUUUUGUCUUCUUUUCGUUGUUUUUGUACAAUUACAAGUUUCUGGGUCUUCUUCCAGUGGGAUGGGCAACAUUUUUGUUUCUUUUUAGUUUGAGG